rnacentral:rRNA from 1 species
UACGAAGGGAGCUAGCGUUGUUCGGAAUCACUGGGCGUAAAGGGCGCGCAGGCGGCUCAUUUUGUCAGGCGUGAAAGCCCGAGGCUCAACCUCGGAACUGCCUUCGAUACUGCGGGUCUCGAGUCCGGGAGAGGUGAGUGGAAUUCCUAGUGUAGAGGUGAAAUUCGUAGAUAUUAGGAAGAACACCAGUGGCGAAGGCGGCUCACUGGCCCGGUACUGACGCUGAGGCGCGAAAGCGUGGGGAGCAAACAGG